rnacentral:tRNA from 1 species
GCCGGCUGGCUCACCGGGGUGAGUGUGGUGUUGCCUCCACCGGGCACAUUUGGCGCAGUUGAUGUUCAAGGCGGCGGGCCGGCC